rnacentral:rRNA from 1 species
GACGGGGCCCGCACAAGCGGCGGAGCAUGCGGAUUAAUUCGAUGCAACGCGAAGAACCUUACCAAGGCUUGACAUACACCGGUAACGCCCAGAGAUGGGUGCCCCUUUGUGGUCGGUGGACAGGUGGUGCAUGGUUAUCGUCAGCUCGUGUCGUGAGAUGUUGGGUUAAGUCCCGCAACGAGCGCAACCCUCGUCCUAUGUUGCCAGCGGGUCAUGCCGGGGACUCAUGGGAGACUGCCGGGGUCAACUCGGAGGAAGGUGGGGAUGACGUCAAAUCGUCAUGCCCCUUAUGUCUUGGGCUUCACGCAUGCUACAAUGGCCGGUACAAAGGGCUGCGAUACCGCGAGGUGGAGCGAAUCCCAGAAAGCCGGUCUCAGUUCGGAUUGGGGUCUGCAACUCGACCCCAUGAAGUCGGAGUCGCUAGUAAUCGCAGAUCAGCAACGCUGCGGUGAAUACGUUCCCGGGCCUU